rnacentral:rRNA from 1 species
CAGCCGCCACGGUAAUACGAAGGGUGCAAGCGUUAAUCGGAAUUACUGGGCGUAAAGCGUGCGUAGGCGGUGAGUUAAGUCUGCUGUGAAAUCCCCGGGCUCAACCUGGGAAUGGCAGUGGAUACUGGCAAGCUAGAGUGUGUCAAAGGAUGGUGGAAUUCCCGGUGUAGCGGUGAAAUGCGUAGAGAUCGGGAGGAACAUCAGUGGCGAAGGCGGCCAUCUGGGACAACACUGACGCUGAGGCACGAAAGCGUGGGGAGCAAACAGGAUUAGAUACCCCAGUAGUCCCUGUCUCUUAUAC